ensembl:lncRNA
GGCGCUGUGACCCCCGCGGCUCUCGGAGCCGCGGCUGCCGGGGGAGAUGCUGGGUCGGGGCGGUCUGUGGGGAGCUCCUGUGGUUGUAGCGUCCGCUGCGGGCUGGGAGAGGACGCGGAGUGAGAGGCGCUCGGUGCCCGUGCGGAGCGGUGUGCGCCCGGUGGGAGUGCCGCGUAGCGCUCAGAUGCCAUCAAUGGCUCCAAAAUCAAGUGACUUUUCCCUCUGGGAGUGGCAGCAUUUCUACGAGCAAUGCCUACUUUGUCUGUAGGUUUUCUGACAAAGCGGAUCGGAUGGAAACUUCCCCAUCUAUCAAACGACCGGAUAAAAAGGGCACGGGAGAGUCCUGAAAGAUUUCUUGCAAGAUUUAUUUUGCUAAACGAGGAUGCAUGUAUGGGAUCCAAGAGCAACGGUUUCUGGUUCUUUCCAAGGAAAUCAUUGAGUAUGCCACCAGGUACAUCCUCACAGAGCUAGAAGAAGCCACUGAAGCGGCUGCUGGCUCCGCCAUCCCCCUCUCUUCUGACUGCAGGACUGCUCCAAUGCUAAUGCUUUGCACGUGGGAUUCAUCUGCCUUGAGCUCUUGAUGUUGAGAGUUAAUCAUUGGACUGCAAACUUGUCACCUACGGCUCUCCAUAUAGUUAAUGGAGAGAAAUAGACACCUCCAGAAGGCAGUGUGUCUCAUCUAUCUUGGAUAUCUGUGGGAAGAUGAAAUGAGCUGCUUCUUGGAGCUACCCAUUUCUCUCACUGGUCUGAAGGGAGCCGAGGGUGCUGGAUCAGAUGGAGGUGAUUAACAUUUAGAUAUGUAUGGCAAAGUGAAAUGAAUCUCACCUCUUUUGAGUAAUUCUCAUUGCCUUGACCUGGUGGUGACUGAAAACCUCUUGAGACCCUUCUGCAUAGCACAUCAAAUCCUAGCUUGGGGCAAACCUGAGCAGCUUUGCAGUUUUCCAGCAAAUGAAAGCACUGCUGAUCAGUCAGGUCAAUCCCCAUGCAGCAGGAUGAUGCUAGUCUGGGAGGAGGCAAAGAAAUGUUGUAAAGCAGAGGUGCCCUUUCUCUGUGGGGUGCUUCCACCUACCUCUACGCUGUGGCUCGGUGCUCAGAAACAAGUGUAUCCAGAUUCACUUUUUCCUGCCCUGAAGAGCCCUGCGAGUAUAUAAAGUGGGGCUACAAGAAAAAAGAAGACACACUUUUUAGCGGGAUCUGUGGUGACAGGACAAGGGGAAAUGGUUCCCCAUUAAAAGAGGGGAAGUUUAGAUUAGAUUAGAUAUAAGGAAGAAGUUUUUUACAGUAAGAGUGGUGAAACACUGGAACAGUUUGCCCAGAGAGGUGGUGGAUGCCUCAUCUCUAGGGACAAUUAAGGUCAGGCUGGACAGGGCUCUACGCAACCUGAUCAAGCUGUGGAUGGCCCUGUUCUUGGCAGGGGAGUUGGACCAGAUGACCUUUGGUUGUCCUUUCCAACUCAAACAAUUCUGUGGUUCCGCGAAACAGUCUGUUUGUCAGCAUGAAUGGGAUUCCAAUGCUCAUUUUAAAGGCUUUCGCAGCUCUCUGAAGCACCUUGUGCUGACUGCAUGUGAGAGAUGCUGUGGGAGGUGGUCCUCUCAAAGCUGCCUCUUCCCCAAGCUCAGGAUGCAGUCUGUUCUCCUAAGGAGACAAUCCCCCCCUUUUUUUUUGUCUUCUAUGUAUAAGUGAUUUACUGUGCUGUCAGUGCCCAGUAAUCUAUUGCUCUGCAACUCCUCGUCACAAGCAAAUUAACGAACCAGCAUCCUCAUUUAAUUUGGAUUAAACUUUGCAGUUAAGAGCUGACAGAAGGCACCAAAAAUACCGGCGUAAUUGCUGUGUAUUUCUAUGUCUGAGCUCCUCAGCAUUACUGUCAGGCUGAUGUUUGCCGUGAGUGGUCCCUGGUUGUGAACAGGGCCCUGAAGUAUAAACAGAUGGGAUUUCUGCAAGAAAACUUGUGAAAUUUCAGGUAACCAACAUGGCUUCAGCAGGGGCAAGUCGUGUCUGACAAACUUGGUGGCCUUUCAUGAUGGAGUUACAGCAUAAGUGGAUAAAGCAAGAGCAACUGAUGUCAUCUACCUGGACUUGUGCAAUUUGAUGCUGUCCCACAUGACAUCCUGGUUGCCAAAUCGGAAAAAAUGGACUUGAUGAAUGGACCACUGGCUGGACAAGGAAUUGGCUGGAUGGCCCCACUCAGAGAGUUGCAAUCAAAGGCUCAGUGUCCAUGUGGAGACCGGCAGUGAGUGGCGUUCCUCAGGGAUCAGUACUGGGACCAGUGUUAUUUAAUACCUUUGUAGGCAACAUGGACAGUGGGAUAGAGCGCCCCCUCAGCAAGUUUGCAGGUGACACCAAGCUGAGUGGUGCAGUUGACACACGAGAGGGAAGGGAUGCCAUCCAGAGGAGGGCCACGAAGGUGAUUAGAGGGCUGGAGCACCUCCCUAACAAAGACAGGCUGG